CAGCUCCGAUUCAACCCCUAGCCUGGGAACCUCCAUAUGCCGCGGGAGUGGCCCAAGAAAUAGCAACAAUAACAACAACAACAACAACAACAAAGACAAAAGACAAAAAAAAAAAUGCACUGAAGAACAGGGAAAGGGUUUAAGCAGGGGAGUAGUGCAAUCAGAUUGGCUCAAUCUGCUGGGACUGGGGUUAAAAAGAAGCACAAGCUGAGGCUUGGAGAUCAACUUGGGGGUGGGGAGUGUUUUAUCUAAUGGGACCUGGUUCUGAAAUAGAGGCAGGAAGAAAGGACAGUAGAGGAUGUUUGCCGAGUGAAGCAGGAGGUCAAGUGGACAGCAUGGGGGCAGCUGCAGCAUGUGAUGAGCAGAGAGAGGGAAGGCCCCUGGGGCCAGGUGGAUGGUGUGGAUUAGGAAAGGCUGGAGCAGGUUUGAGGCACAUUAAAUCUGAGGUGCCCAAGGGGUAGGAUGGGAAGGUCCCUGAUAUAGUUGUUCCCCCCAACUUGGGCAGCAGAGAAAGGCUAGGAGCUAUCAGUGCAGGUAAUUGGGGCCAUGGGAACCAUGGGGUCCACUCUGCCUACAUUUCUAGCCCAGCAACAGAGAGAGGCUCUUACUGGUUGUUAAACAGCAGAACCAUUGCAAUAUCACCAGAUCCCUCUGGGACCCCUGGGGAACAUUGUGCAAACCAGGACAUGGAUGCCCAGAGGCAGGAAAGCACUGGCUCUAGAACUCUGACCCAGAACUCCUGACUCCCUCUCAGCUUCUACCUUCACUGGGCCCCUUCAGGCUGCCCAUCCAUGGCCACACAGACAUGCAAAACUGCUCAAGUGGACCCCACUUGUGCAUCUAUGGGUACCAUGUUCCCCCACCCCCGGCAGAUGACAUCACCCUUAGCCUGGGGUCUCUUCCAUCAGGCCAUUUCCCAGAGUGGCACUGCAGUACUCAGAAUCUUAUCACUCCUGACCCAGUGAAGGUGGCCAAGGUAGGGACCUCCUCUCCCCCAGGGUCCAGCAAGGAGAGGCAGGAUAAGGGCACCCCCGAGCACAUCCUCUCUUCACAGAAGAUUGCCCGUCUGGCAGGUUGCAACCACAGCAGCACAAAGAUUCUGGUAGACUGCUCGAGGGCACGAUCAGAGACCGAGAUGAUGCGUAUGUCCAAGAAGAUGGUAGGUGGAAGUUCCUUCCAGCUCUCUGACCCAGCUGCCUGCAAACAACUCUUCUGACAUGAUACCCAGACCACCCCAGGGACCCUGACUCAGGAGCACAUUGGGGAGACUCCCUUUAACUCUAGUCCGCUUCUCUUCCCAAAGAGAUUCUUCCACCUGCACUCCCAUGAAGACCCGGAAGAGAUGAACAGGCUCCAUUCUGUAAUCUGAGCAGUUAUUGAACAUCUACUGGGCGCCAGGUAUUUAGGAUACUCGGUAAACUAUUUAGGCCAAAGUCUUUUGCCCGUGGGGCUGGGGUUCCAGUGAGGAGAGAUAAUAAACCCUACAAAUAAAUGAAUAUUCACCUCUGUAGGGAGUGAUAAGUGAAUAGCAACAAUAGGAGCAGGACAAGGAGGCUGGGCAUGUGGGGAGGGAUGGGGUUUUCUUUUUUCUUGUUUUUUGUAUUUUUUUUUCAGGGCCUGACCCAGGCUCAGGUUGCACCUGUGCCCUACCUUUUGGGUGUCAACAACCCAGAGUUCAGUUGGUUCUUGCCUUUUUUGGCAGAUGAGCUACAGCUCAGAGAGGUUGAGUGAGUUGCCCCAGGUCACGUGGCUAAUGAAUGGCAUGGACAGGAUUCAAAUCUGCUCCCUUGGUUCUGAAGCCCAAGCUCUUUACCCAGCUUGAUGCAGGAAGGAGAAGGUGCUGAGCCUCUGGAUGAUGAAAUACUGGGCCAACUCUGCCAGCACAGGGUGAGUCUGGGCCCCUGACUCAUCUGGGCAGUCAUUCUAAACCUGAUGACCAGCUGUUUCAGAUACUUGUCCUUGCAUGUCCCACAGAAAAUGUGUGAUCAACCCAAGCAGAAUGUCCCAUCUUUCCCUAGUCAGUCACCAGGUCCUCGAUGUCCCUAGAAUAGGUUCCUCUUUGUCCCAUGACCACACUCUUCACUCACUCAAGCACUCCACAGUCACUGUCAAUGCUCUCUCAUGCCCAGCUCAAUACUGGGAGCUGGAGUUCAAGGCUAUCACAGACAUGACCCCCUUCUCCAGAGGCUUGUUAAUGUUUAACAGAAACAUCAGGGGAGUUCCCAUCGUGACUCAGCAGUUAACGAACCCAACCAGUAUCCAUGAGGACUCGGGUUCAAUCUCUGGACUCCUUUGAUGGGUUAAGGAUCCAGUGUUCCCAUGAGCUGUAAGGUAGGUCUCAGGUGCAGCUCAGAUGCCACGUUGCUGUGGCUGUGGCGUAGGCUGGCAGCUGUAGCUCUGAUUUGACCCCUAGCCUGGGAACCGCCACAUGCCUCAGGUGUGGCCCUAAAAGCAAAACAAACAAACAAAAAACAUCAAAUUACAAUCUGGUUUAGUGAGGAUUGUGUUGCGGGAUCAGAGGCACUUUGAGAGCAUCAAGGGGUGUCUGACCAAGCUGGGCUUUGGAGGGGUGGGGGGGGUUCCCUGGCAGAGAUGCCUAGUUCCCCAUCUCCACAUUCUCUCUGCAUUCUGUCCAUCUUCCUAUGACACUCAAGGGAUCUUUCUGAAUUAUCACCUCUUCAAACUUGGCAUGGCUUCCCUCUGCUCCCAGCUAAAGUCCCAUCCCCUUAGCUUGGCACAAAAUUUUUUAAAACACUUCCUGUUUCAACUCCUCUCCGGAUCCAUCCUCUUCACACAUUCCGUGUUUUUACCUAACCCUGUACUUGCGCUUCCUCCCAAAGCCCUGGGCCUUCAUACCUCCAACCCUUUGCCCAUACUGUUCCCUCUGCCUGGAAGGUGCCUCUUUGCUAUACGCUUUCCUCUUCUUUCUUGAAGAUCUAAGUAUCAUCUCUGUAAAGCCUUCUUGGACCCCCAACUCCCAAGGCAAGGUGAAUGAGGGAAGGGUGAGAGAAGGAGGCAAGAUGAGGCAAGGUGAAUGAGAGAAGGGUGAGAGAAGGAGGCAAGAUGCACAGGAAUAAUCCUCUCUUCUGGGCAGAAACCCCAAUGGUGGGAAGCUGCCCCACUGGCUAUGUUACAACAAGGAUGAGAAGUACUUGCAGCUGGAUUUAACCACGAUGGGGGUGUGAAGCUUAAGGAGGAGAAAAUGGCCUUUUGGAUGAGGCUGCACCAGCACUAAGGACUGAGAAGCAGGGCAGUUCUGAGGCUGGCUAUGCAGGAGGGAGUCUUAGGGGUUGUCCCACCUCCCAGGCCUUGAGGAGAUUAGCCAUAGACACAUCUGGGACAAGCAUCUAGGCUCCCUGUUGCUUCAGUCUAGAGCCAGAGAUUUAGCCUUUGUUUGGGGCCCUGAACCACCCCCUUUAGCCUGACAUGCCAGAAUGCCCACCUAUCUCACUGACCAUCAGUUAGUCCAGGCCCUUUCACUGCCCUACUGUGCACAGCUACUCAGACUCAGAACAAAUGCUUCUCCCCCUUCUCCAAAUCCUCCCACCCAUCAAGGUCUACUUAAAGCCACUUCUUAUGGGAAGUCCACCCAGACUGCCACCGCUCCUAUCAUUGCACCUAGCUUGCUAUUUACCAUUUAAUCCUGUGCAACUUUAUGCCUGUUCCCAUUGGCCUGAGGCCUUGGGCAGGUUAUAUGUUACAAGGAGUGAAGCUUUGAUAGCUUGGAAUCUUCUGUUCCCUCCAUACCCAUUUCCCCAGGGCCCCUCCAAAGCCUGGACGCAGGAAUGAUCCUCAAUAAGAGCAUAUGACUUGCCCUGAAUGUUUCCAUCUGUCAGAUGGUUGGGUGAAGUAGAUAGUUUCUCAAUGGGAGACCAUGGAGGAAGGGAGCGCUGCCACCUGCUCCCUGUGAGGCUAAGCCUCCUCUGCUCACACAGUCAAGGGGAGCUGCAGCAGAGUCGCCUGGCCUGCAGAACACUUGGCUUUUUUCCUUGUUGUCUCAAGUGCACCCCUCAGGACAUCCACAUUCUGAGCUCUCUGUCCAUUGGAUUAGGUCUUGGUGUUGCAUCCAGACUCCUCACUCUCUGGUGUAUCUAGCAACCUGACCUGGGCACACCCCAGCCCGUCCCACAGGUUUUUGUUUGGUUUUGGUCUCCCGCCUUCCUUCCUUCUUUCCUUCCUUUCUAGGGCCACAUCUGCAGCAUGUGGAAGUUCCCAGGCUAGGGGUCCAAUCGAAGCUGCAUCUGCCAGCCUAUGCCACGGCCACAGCAACUCAGGAUCUGAGCCGCAUCUGAGACCUACCUCACAGCUCAUGGGAACACUGGAUCCUUAACCCACUGAGUGAGGCCAGGGAUCGAACCCACAUCUUCAUGGAUACUAGUUGGGUCCCUAACCCCCUGAGCCACAACAGGAACUCCCGUUUUGGUUUCUUUGUGGGGUUUUUGAGUGCUCAAGUAUGCCUACCACAAAAUGUACCAUUUUAACAAUUUUAAUUUCAGUGACAGUGAGUAUGGUCACAUUACCAUCACUACCAUCCAUCUUCAGAACUUUUUCAUCAUCCCAAACUGAAACCCUGUAUCCAUUAAACAAUAACUCCCUAUUUCCACUCAUCCCCAAACUCUGGUACCCACUCUUCUACUUCCUAUCCUAUAAUUUGUGUAUUCCAGGUACCUCAUAUAAGUGGAAUCACACAAUAUUUGUCCUUUUUUGUCUGGCUUAAUUCACUUAGCAUAUCUUCAAGGUUCAUCCACAUUGUAGCAUAUGACAGAAUUCUAUUCCUUUUUAGGACUGAAUAAUAUUCCAUUGUGUGUACAUACCACAUUUUGUUUUGGUUUUGAAUGACUUUUAUUUUUUCCAUUAUAAUUGGUUUGCAGUGUUCUGUCAAUGUUCUACUGUACAGCAAGGUGGCCCAGUCACACAUACAUAUAUACAUUCUUUUUUUCACAUUAUCAUGCUCCAUCAUAAGUGACUAGAUAUAGUUCCCAGUGCUAUACAGCUGGAUCUCAUUGCUUAUUCAUUCCAAAGGCAAUAGUUUCUAUCUAUUAACCCCAGAUUCCAAGUCCAUCCCACUCUUUCCCCCUCCCCCUGGGCAACCACAAGUCUGUUCUCCAAGUCCAUGAUUUUCUUCUCUGUGGAAAGGGUCAUUUGUGUUGUAUAUUAGAUUCCAGAUGUAAGUGAUAUUGUAUGGUAUUUUUCUCUUUUUGGCUUACUUCACUUAGUAUGCGAGUCUUUAGUUCCAUCCAUGUUGCUGCAAAUGGCAUUAUUUUGUUCUUUUUGAUGGCUGAGUAGUAUUCCGUUGUGUAUAUAUACACCACAUCUUCUUAAUCCAGUCGUCUGUCGAUGGACAUUUGGGUUGUUUCCCUGUCUUGGCUAUUGUGAAUAGUGCUGCAAUGAACAUACAAGUGCAUGUGUCUUUUUCCACAUUUUGUUUAUCCAUUUAUAUGUUUAUGGAUAUUUGCCUUGUUCCCACCUUUUGGUCAUUGUGAAAAAUGCUUAUGAACAUUAGUGUAGCAUACCAGAGAUUUUUAUGUCCCAAACUACAAAGUUGACUAGGGUCUUUAUUUUUAGGGGUUUCCUGAGUAUCUGAGAUAACUAGAGGCUGCAAAGACCCAUGUAAUAGGGGGCACCUGAUACUUCAUACCCCAGCAUUUUAGGCCCCAAAGCAAAAGGAUGGUUGGAGGAGUGGGGAGAACCCCUAUCAAGCAAAAGUUUAUCUUCACAACAAUGUUGUCACAUGGAUUUCAUUAAUCCUAUUCUACCAAUAAAGAAAUCAA
rnacentral:lncRNA from 1 species